rnacentral:lncRNA from 1 species
CUGUGUUGCAGGACAGCUACUUGCUAUUCCUGGCAAGCAGACAGCUAGGGAACUUUAAGAUUACCCAACAGAGAUGACCAAAGCUAGACCGGAAGCACUCUGAGACUUAGAGGUGUACCAGCUCGAUGAAGUAGACUAUGCAUCUAUCAGAGAACAUAAUGCUGCACUGAGCCUGCUGUGAAGAGUUCAUCUGAUUCAAAUGGAAUGACACAGUAACAAGCUGAAUAUCUAGGAAUGGCGGAGACCAGAUGAGGAUACUGAAAGCUGGGACACUGACUACUGCGCUGGUCUAGUUUUCAGCUGUGGAAGUUAUUUUCCUUAAGGAGAUCUGAGAUGGUGAUGUCACUACCCAUGAAAUAACAAAUGCCCAAUUUUCCUUACUGGCCUCUGAACAUGAAGCACAUAUCCCAGCGUUCCCUGACUCACUCCUGCAGAUACCUGAGCGGUCUCAUCAGCCUACACGGAAUGAGAAUGAAGCAGAGAAAUCCUUCAGGACAAAGGAUGCAGUAUAAAUGUAAAGUAUCAGUGGAACAGGUUGUCUGUGGGUGACUUUCAGUGUGCUGAUCCAGUUCUGUUUUCUUUUAAAUAUGCUCUAAAAACACGGCAAGCUUCAAAGCAUGGAAUAAGGGAGGUGGGUACAGCAUUUUAUAAAUACUCUAAAAAAUUCCAAGUUUCUGAAUGUUGCAGUCCACGGGAUGCUGCCUAGGAGAAACACAGCGUUAAGAUGGUGGUUGAGAUGCAAAUGCAACAUUUUCACAUGGUGG